UUUUACCUCUGACUUGAUAAACCAGUACACUUCAUAGCGUAAUUUUCACACUAAUAUUUUAAAACCUUUUAUAUAAUAUAAAGUGUUACAAUCCACUACCAAAUCUUAUUACUGGAUUUUGAAGUUCACUGUCUUUUUAUGUCUCAAUUUAGCAUAGAGGUUGCAUUUAUAUUUUUCUUCUUAAUCCCAUGAAAUAUGUUUGGCUCUUUUUGUGUGCUCUAGAAUUAACACUAAUCUGAUCUCUUCUGUUUUCUACCUGUUUCCUGUUGAUGCUGGAAUGUCAUGUGACUUCUCUUCUGUUCCUGCAAUGAUUUCUCCCUUCCACUUGUUUGCUUGGCUGGUGUUGCACAUCUUUCUGUCUGUCCAAUCAGGAUGGCAUUGUAGCAGAUGAAUCCCAAAACAUGCAGUUUAUGUCCAGUCAAAGCAUGAAGCUUCCCCCUUCAAAUAGUGCACUACCUAACCAGGCCCUUGGCUCCAUAGCAGGGCUGGGUAUGCAAAACUUGAAUUCUGUUAGACAGGUAAGUCCAGAUGUGUAUUUUAGGCUCUCAGUUGAAUGAUUUGUAUUAGUAAUAAGAUCUCUCUUACAUGUAGUUACUGUGUUUAAAUCAUAGUACAGUGUGGUAAUGAGAUGUUUGUCCCUAAAGAAUCCCACUGUUACUUGUUGCUGUUUGUUUUUAUAGAAUGGCAAUCCCAGUAUGUUUGGUGUUGGAAACACAGCAGCACAACCCCGGGGCAUGCAGCAGCCUCCAGCACAACCUCUUAGUUCAUCUCAGCCUAAUCUCCGUGCUCAAGUGCCUCCUCCAUUACUCUCCCCUCAGGUUCCAGUUUCAUUGCUGAAGUAUGCACCAAACAACGGUGGCCUGAAUCCACUCUUUGGCCCUCAACAGGUAGCCAUGCUGAACCAGCUAUCCCAGCUAAACCAGCUUUCUCAGAUCUCCCAGUUACAGCGAUUGUUAGCGCAGCAGCAAAGGGCGCAGAGUCAGAGAAGCGUGCCUUCUGGGAACCGGCCGCAGCAAGACCAGCAGGGUCGACCUCUUAGCGUGCAGCAGCAAAUGAUGCAACAAUCUCGUCAACUUGAUCCAAACCUGUUGGUGAAGCAGCAGACUCCACCAUCUCAGCAGCAGCCACUCCAUCAGCCAGCCAUGAAGUCUUUCCUUGACAAUGUCAUGCCCCACACUACACCUGAGCUGCAAAAAGGGCCAUCACCAAUAAAUGCUUUCAGCAACUUCCCUAUAGGCUUGAACUCAAACUUGAAUGUAAAUAUGGAUAUGAACAGUAUUAAAGAGCCACAGUCAAGACUAAGGAAGUGGACGACAGUGGACAGCAUUUCUGUGAACACAUCUUUGGAUCAAAACUCCAGCAAACAUGGUGCUAUUUCAAGUGGUUUCAGGCUGGAAGAGUCUCCAUUUGUUCCCUAUGACUUUAUGAACAGCAGUACUUCACCAGCCAGUCCUCCAGGUUCAAUAGGAGAUGGCUGGCCACGUGCCAAAUCGCCUAACGGCUCUAGCAGUGUUAAUUGGCCACCAGGUAAAAUUUUUUCUAACACUUUCUUUCAUGAGACUGUGUUUCCAUUAAGGUUUUGUUACAUCUGGACUUACUACUGAUGUAGCCCAGAUCGGCGUGCUUAGACUGACGUGUGCGGAUGAGAAGGAAUGCAGAAGUGAUUGAGGAAAAGUUAAGCAUGAAGUCUUGGGCAAGUGAGUGUGUCAGCCUGUUACCUAUGCCUUUAUGCUCAAGCAGCAGAGGUAGAAGUGAGUCCCAUUGACCAGCAUGAAGAAUUAUAUUAAAAACUUUAGGCUGGGGGCAGUGGCACAUACCAGUAAUCCCAGCACUUUGGGAGGCCGAGGCGGGCGGAUCACGAGGUCAGGAGAUCGAGACCAUGCUGGCUAACACAGUGAAACCCCGUCUCUACUAAAACUACAAAAAAUUAGCCAGGCGUGGUGGCGGGCGCCUGUAGUCCCAGCUACAGGAGGCUGAGGCAGGAGAAUGGCGUGAACCUGGGAGGCAGAGCUUGCAGUGAGCCGAAAUUGCGCCACUGCACUCCAGCCUGGGCCACAGAGCAAGACAACAACAACAAAAACUUUAAUUCGCUGUUUCUCGUAAGUUGUGUCAGGGAGUAACUUGCAGUAUUUUCAUUCAUACAUAGGAGUUACCAGAAGUGCUUCUAUGGCCUGCUUUCUCCUACCUGAGUUGCAGUAGCUUUGUGAUUUGUCUUAAAGCUUAAAGCACUUUUAAAUGUUACUGUUUAAAAAUAAACAUGAAUCUGGCGGGUACGGUGGCUCAUGCCUGUAAUCCUAGCACUUUGGGAGGCUGAGGUGGGCAGGUAACGAGGUCCCAGGAGAUCGAGACCAUCCUAGCUAACACGGUGAAACCCCAACUCUACUAAAAAUGCAAAAAGAAAUUAGCCGGGUAUGGCGGUGUGUGCCCGUAGUCCCAGCUACUCGGGAGGCUGAGGCAGGAGAGUGGCGUGAACACAGGAGGCGGAGCUCGCAGUGAGCCAAGAUCAUGCCACUGCACUCCAGCCUGGGCAACAGAGCGAGACUCUGUCUC
rnacentral:sRNA from 1 species